AAAACCUACAGUUAAACAAUUUAUACUGUCAUUUGUCUUAUUGCAUCAAACUUAAUCAAUGACCUCUUUGGGAUAAACAUAAAUAUGACCUGCGAAGAUUACUGGAACUAAACUGAACUGAUUUAUAGAUUGUAAAAGAACUAACGAAUGGACCCAAAGAAUACUAAAGAACCAAGAGGCCAGGCUCUUCGAAGACUAGAGGAACCAAUACAAAAGUUUUGCGAAGACUGUAAAGGAACAACACAAUCAAUGUUGACCCUAAAAAAAUCAGAAACAAAGGCUACACGAAAACUGCUCAGAAAUUUGCUUUAAAUGAAUUUAAUAUACACAGCAACACAUGUCUUUUAACAC
rnacentral:lncRNA from 1 species